GACGUAGGGGGCCAGCGUUGCUCGGAAUUACUGGGUGUAAAGGGUUCGUAGGCGGUGCGGCAAGUUGGGAGUGAAAUCUCUGGGCUCAACCCGGAGGCUGCUUCCAAAAACUGCUGUGCUUGAGUGUGGGAGAGGCGCGUGGAAUUGCAGGUGUAGCGGUGAAAAUGCGUAGAUAUCUGCAGGAACACCCGUGGCGAAAGCGGCGCGCUGGACCACUACUGACGCUGAGGAACGAAAGCUAGGGGAGCAAACAGG
rnacentral:rRNA from 1 species